UCCCGACCUUAUUAUCAGCUCUAACUCAACUUACACAUGCAAGUCUCCGCAACCCAGUGAAUAUGCCCUCAAUCCCCCCACCCGGGGACGAGGAGCGGGCAUCAGGCACAAACAUUAGCCCAAGACGCCUAGCCAAGCCACACCCCCAAGGGAAUUCAGCAGUGAUAAACAUUAAGCCAUAAGUGAAAACUUGACUCAGUUAGUGUUAAGAGGGCCGGUAAAACUCGUGCCAGCCACCGCGGUUAGACGAGAGGCCCUAGUUGAUAUUACAACGGCGUAAAGGGUGGUUAAGGAUAAACAAAAAUAAAGUCAAAUGGCCCCUUGGCCGUCAUACGCUUCUAGGAGUCCGAAGCCCUAAUACGAAAGUAACUUUAAUAAACCCACCUGACCCCACGAAAGCUGAGAAACAAACUGGGAUUAGAUACCCCACUAUGCUCAGCCGUAAACUCAGACAUCCAGCUACAAUUAGAUGUCCGCCAGGGUACUACGAGCAUUAGCUUAAAACCCAAAGGACCUGACGGUGUCUCAGACCCCCCUAGAGGAGCCUGUUCUAGAACCGAUAACCCCCGUUCAACCUCACCACUUCUAGCCACCCCAGCCUAUAUACCGCCGUCGUCAGCUUACCCUGUGAAGGUAAUAAAAGUAAGCAAAAUGGGCACAACCCAAAACGUCAGGUCGAGGUGUAGCGCAUGAAGUGGGAAGAAAUGGGCUACAUUUUCUAAUAUAGAAUAUUACGAACAUGCACCAUGAAACAAUGCUUGAAGGAGGAUUUAGUAGUAAAAGGGAAAUAGAGUGUCCCUUUGAACCCGGCUCUGAGACGCGUACACACCGCCCGUCACUCUCCCCUGUCAAAACGCACCAAAAAUACAUAAUACAACAGCACUGACAAGGGGAGGCAAGUCGUAACACGGUAAGUGUACCGGAAGGUGCACUUGGAUCAAAC
rnacentral:ncRNA from 1 species